GGGGGUGUAACUCAGGGGUAGAGUAUAUGUUUAGCAUGUGGGAGGGCUCGGUUUAAUCCCUAGCACCCCCC
rnacentral:tRNA from 1 species